UUUCCGUAGGUGAACAUGCGGAAGGAUCAUUAUUGUAUAACCGAGGUGCGAGGGCUGUCGCUGACCCGAAAGGUCGUGCACGCCCGAGUGCCCUCACCCACAUCCAUCUCACCCCUAUGUGCACCACCGCGUGGGUCCCCCUUUGGCUUGUUCGGAGGGGGGCUUACGUUUUCACACAAACUUUGUAUGCAGUGUAGAAUGUAUUUUUUGUUUUUGCGAUCACGCAAUCAAUACAACUUUCAACAACGGAUCUCUUGGCUCUCGCAUCGAUGAAGACGCAGC
rnacentral:misc_RNA from 1 species